AGCUUCAGGACACUGCCCGCAAGUCGGCCAAAGGUCUUCCCUAAAGUGCAUCCUUUUCCUGACCACAAAGGCUAUUCAUGUAAAUUGUAGAAAACGGAGCGAUUGUGUAGAAGUAGAAAGCAAAAUCUUUGCCCCACAAUCCCGAGGAUAUUGCCCGUGGCUGCCCUCCUCCAGACUCCUGAGGGAAGCUCCUAAAAGAAGUAUUUUUCAUUUGUGAAAAGCUGUUCUUGGCUACAGCAUAGGUGAUCCACAAGAGAAUCCAUGUAGGCUGAGCAGACAUGAGAGGCGGAGUACUGGCGCAGGACAGGAAUCCAGGGCUCCAGCUCCCAGGCCGUUCUGAACCACAACCACUAGGUGGCGCUAGCUGGACCCUGCAGGUACCUGACCAUGAACAACUUCCUAUCACCUGGCCACAGCAGGCUCAUAAUUACAUAAUCCUAUCUAAUAAAAGAGAAACAUG